rnacentral:rRNA from 1 species
GAUGAACGCUGGCGGCGUGCCUAAUACAUGCAAGUCGAGCGAACAGACGAGGAGCUUGCUCCUCUGACGUUAGCGGCCGACGGGUGAGUAACACGUGGAUAACCUACCUAUAAGACUGGGAUAACUUCGGGAAACCGGAGCUAAUACCGGAUAAUAUAUUGAACCGCAUGGUUCAAUAGUGAAAGACGGUUUUGCUGUCACUUAUAGAUGGAUCCGCGCCGCAUUAGCUAGUUGGUAAGGUAACGGCUUACCAAGGCAACGAUGCGUAGCCGACCUGAGAGGGUGAUCGGCCACACUGGAACUGAGACACGGUCCAGACUCCUACGGGAGGCAGCAGUAGGGAAUCUUCCGCAAUGGGCGAAAGCUUGACGGAGCAACGCCGCGUGAGUGAUGAAGGUCUUCGGAUCGUAAAACUCUGUUAUUAGGGAAGAACAAAUGUGUAAGUAACUAUGCACGUCUUGACGGUACCUAAUCAGAAAGCCACGGCUAACUACGUG